UUUAUUGACGUUGUUUUUUGCUUUAUAUAAUGAAUAGCUAUUUAAUUAUGUUAUUUUCAGAGUGUUUUUCUGUAGUCUUUUGACGGAUGAGAAGAAAAAGCCAAAUAAACUGCAAUAUUUUUUAGGAGAUGUAGAGAUUGAGACUGUUCCAGUUAGACAUUGUAAAGAUGCUUAUGGGAUUGUUUUAAAAAAAGAAAUGGACUGGAAAAUCGUUUACUCCGGUGACACUGCACCUUGUCAGAAAUUAAUUGAUGCUGGUGAAAACUGUACUUUACUUAUACAUGAAGCAUCUAUUGAAGACGAUUGCAUGAAUGAAGCUUUGGCUCGGAAACAUAGGUAAGUUAGUAAUUAAUUUUGAAUGAUUUAUUUGUAAAGAAAGACAAUGCGUUCUAAUAUAGUUUGUUAA